rnacentral:rRNA from 1 species
GAUGAACGCUGGCGGCGUGCCUAAUACAUGCAAGUCGAGCGAACAGACGAGGAGCUUGCUCCUCUGACGUUAGCGGCGGACGGGUGAGUAACACGUGGAUAACCUACCUAUAAGACUGGGAUAACUUCGGGAAACCGGAGCUAAUACCGGAUAAUAUAUUGAACCGCAUGGUUCAAUAGUGAAAGACGGUUUUGCUGUCACUUAUAGAUGGAUCCGCGCCGCAUUAGCUAGUUGGUAAGGUAACGGCUUACCAAGGCAACGAUGCGUAGCCGACCUGAGAGGGUGAUCGGCCACACUGGAACUGAGACACGGUCCAGACUCCUACGGGAGGCAGCAGUAGGGAAUCUCCCGCAAUGGGCGAAAGCCUGACGGAGCAACGCCGCGUGAGUGAUGAAGGUCUUCGGAUCGUAAAACUCUGUUAUUAGGGAAGAACAAAUGUGUAAGUAACUAUGCACGUCUUGACGGUACCUAAUCAGAAAGCCACAGCUAACUACGUG